GCCCAAGUGGUGUAGCCCGGCCUAUCAUCGCGGCCUGUCACGUCGUGGACCCGAGUUCAAAUCUCGGCUUGGGCGCCA
rnacentral:tRNA from 3 species